rnacentral:lncRNA from 1 species
AGAAAGAUCAAUAAGAUAGAAAAUAACUAAAGAUUGUGAAAUAAUUUAGGAAGAAAGUGACAACAUUUUGAGAGUCUAGGCAACAAAUACUUUCAUCACACUGUCUACAUGAUUUUUGGUCUAAAAUGAACUCAGCAUGAUAUAAUGGUAAUAGCAAUAGAUCAGAGAAGCCUGGUUCUUCUGUUGUGUGACUUUAAGCAAUUCAUUACUCUCUCUAAAGAGUCAUCACUCUCAUUUUCUCAUAAUUUUGGUUGCUAUGAGAUUCAAGUGAGAAAGCAUAUUGUGAAUGAGAUGUAAAAAGCAAUCAAUCUGUGAAAUAUAAUGCUCUAGAAAAGAAGUAUAAUUAGUAAAUAUUAAAAUUUACUUUCAACUAAAAUAUCAAGUCCUUACUAAAUUAUCAAAACUACAUAACAAUCUCAGUUUAAUCCUGUAGCAGCCAUAUGGAAUGGAUUAUAUUACCAUCUUAAAUCCACAAAUGAAAGCUAUGGAUGCAGAUUGCUACAGCUGAAAGUUCAAAACUGGAAACCAAAUCAAACUUGCUUGAUUUCAGAUAGUAAGGCUUAAUUAGUACGUCUGCUAUUUCCAUAUGGGCUAUUUGUUUAUUGAUAUGAAAUACAUUAUAUUUACAUGAUUGUUUUUAAUAAAAUAAUCAUUAUCUCAAUAGUCAACAUUUGUUCAAAACUCAAG